rnacentral:rRNA from 1 species
GAGGAAUAUUGGUCAAUGGGGGCAACCCUGAACCAGCCAAGUCGCGUGAAGGAUGAAGGUCUUAUGGAUUGUAAACUUCUUUUGCAGGGGAAUAAAGUGCGGGACGUGUCCUGUUUUGUAUGUACCCUGAGAAUAAGGAUCGGCUAACUCCGUGCCAGCAGCCGCGGUAAUACGGAGGAUCCGAGCGUUAUCCGGAUUUAUUGGGUUUAAAGGGUGCGUAGGUGGUUUGAUAAGUCAGCGGUGAAAGUUUGCAGCUUAACUGUAAAAAUGCCGUUGAAACUGUCGGACUUGAGUGUAAAUGAGNUAGGCGGAAUGCGUGGUGUAGCGGUGAAAUGCAUAGAUAUCACGCAGAACUCCGAUUGCGAAGGCAGCUUACUAAGCUACAACUGACACUGAAGCACGAAAGCGUGGGGAUCAAACA